ACGUCCCAUAUGCAUAUAAUACACCUAUAAAGGCUUAUUACUUAAAGGGGCAGUAUUAGGUGUUUUCCAGGCGCAUCGUGCCAUUUUAUAUCACACUAAAGUAACUGUUACCUUCA